rnacentral:sRNA from 1 species
UUCUUCAGAAUGCUUUCUAAUAGAGAAUCAGCUAGACGCUCUAGAAGAAGAAACAAGCCCAUUUGACUGAGCUAGAAACACAGGUUUUGUCCUUUAUCUUGUCCCUUGGGACCCAGCCUAUAACACUCUGCACUUUCUCAUCAAAGAAUACAACACAUGUAUUUGCUGCAUUAGAUAGGCCAACUGUCAUGUACAG